GCUCUUUCAAUGGUUCGUCUGCUUACGAACGGUCGCGCAUGCGUGAAUGAAAAUGCCAUGGGGAAUUACAGUUUUAUACUUUUAUAGUCCUCCACUUAUCCAUCUAUUGGUAUUCUUCAUGUUUUAACCAACAAUUAUCAUCAAUCAAUCGCCCUGAAAAGUAAAGAAAACAUAUGGCUUUUAAGAAUAAAGAUUGGGUGCCACUGGUUAACGCCACCUACCAGUUCCAAGCAAAAAUGCAUUAGGCAAAGCAAACGAAAGCGUCCAUCCUUAAAACCGUCAUGUGACGCUUCCCUCUGCAGUACCUUUUCUGCUUACCAAAGACGUCAGAGCUGUUCUUCACUUUUAGAAGCCUACGUACCCUUUCCUACAGCCAUACUUUACGGAAAUGGCAUAACGCCUUGAAUGGGCUUCCGCUUGUUUUGGGGCGACAUCCAAACGUAAAAAAAAAUGCACCCAUUAUUUCCAACAAGUAUGCAUGUAAUUUAAGGAAUAAUUAACAAUUCAUCACGUGAAACUCCCCUCGAAAAUCGAGUUUAAGAGGUUUUCACGAGACAACAAUUAAGCCGAUAGAUUUUUCAAUUUCAAAAGUCUAUCUCUAUACUGAAUCCACUGUUCAUAAGAUUUCCAAUCUAAAUCUGGUCAAUCACACAACUCUGUAUCCGUGUCCUAUAAAGAGUGCGGAGAUGAUUUGCCUAAACAACGUUCGUAAAUCAAAUCAUUCCCACUCCGUUGUCCCGGUUGGUUUCGCCGUCAGGUCAAUAAAUGCAUAUCACAAACAUAAAA